GACGAACGCUGGCGGCGCGCCUAACACAUGCAAGUCGAACGAGCGAGAGAGAGCUUGCUUUCUCGAGCGAGUGGCGAACGGGUGAGUAACGCGUGAGGAACCUGCCUCAAAGAGGGGGACAACAGUUGGAAACGACUGCUAAUACCGCAUAAGCCCACGGUGCCGCAUGGCACAGAGGGAAAAGGAGCAAUCCGCUUUGAGAUGGCCUCGCGUCCGAUUAGCUAGUUGGUGAGGUAAUGGCCCACCAAGGCGACGAUCGGUAGCCGGACUGAGAGGUUGGACGGCCACAUUGGGACUGAGACACGGCCCAGACUCCUACGGGAGGCAGCAGUGGGGAAUAUUGCACAAUGGGGGAAACCCUGAUGCAGCGACGCCGCGUGGAGGAAGAAGGUCUUCGGAUUGUAAACUCCUGUUGUUGGGGAAGAUAAUGACGGUACCCAACAAGGAAGUGACGGCUAACUACGUA
rnacentral:rRNA from 1 species